rnacentral:piRNA from 1 species
UAGGAUGGACACAAAUACUCGACAUACCCUG